GCUUCUCUCUGUCUUUCUGUCUCUGUCUUUCUGUCUCUCUGUCUUCCCAUCUCUGCACCAUUUCUCCUGGCUGUGGGUCAAAGUCAGGUAAAAGGAUUCCAAACCCCUUUUCAACCAGAAGCCUCUGUGUAAAAGUUCUCCAAGUCUUCCCUCCAGAUCUUUAGGUUUAUCAUUGACAUUCAAAUGGAGUACAGUGGGAGGUUUCAGUUGCUUCAGAGUUAUAGUGCCCUACUCAUGUUGAAGACCUGCCAAGGGGGAAAGAACCUGAGGUUUCUACAGAAUCCAGAUGACUUCCCUUCUGGGAGUCAAGACUAUUCACAAGAAAUAGAGAAAGAACAAUAUAAGAAAAUGUAUGAUCAAAUGCUCAUUUGUGUGAUAUGGACUCUAUCCAGUGAAAACUCCCGGAAGAAAGGGGCCGUUCUUUUUAAUUCCCUUCGGAUGAUAUCUAAUAGGAAA
rnacentral:lncRNA from 1 species